rnacentral:rRNA from 1 species
CCUACGGGAGGCAGCAGUGGGGAAUAUUGGACAAUGGGCGAAAGCCUGAUCCAGCAAUGCCGCGUGAGUGAUGAAGGCCUUAGGGUUGUAAAGCUCUUUUACCAGGGAUGAUAAUGACAGUACCUGGAGAAUAAGCUCCGGCUAACUCCGUGCCAGCAGCCGCGGUAAUACGGAGGGAGCUAGCGUUGUUCGGAAUUACUGGGCGUAAAGCGUACGUAGGCGGUUAUUCAAGUCAGAGGUGAAAGCCUGGAGCUCAACUCCAGAACUGCCUUUGAAACUAGAUAGCUAGAAUCUUGGAGAGGUGAGUGGAAUUCCGAGUGUAGAGGUGAAAUUCGUAGAUAUUCGGAAGAACACCAGUGGCGAAGGCGACUCACUGGACAAGUAUUGACGCUGAGGUACGAAAGCGUGGGGAGCAAACAGGAUUAGAUACCCUGGUAGUCCACGCCGUAAACGAUGAUAACUAGCUGUUCGGGCUCUACGAGCUUGAGUGGCGCAGCUACGACAUUAAGUUAAGUUCCGUCCGUCGGGAGGUACGGUCGGCGAAGAAGUUAAAACUUAACUAAAGUUAAAGUUAAGUAGUUACGUUGUAGAGAGCGACGACGACGACGACGGAGGAGGAG